rnacentral:rRNA from 1 species
GUCAGCAGCCGCGGUAAAACCAGCACCUCAAGUGGUCAGGAGGAUUAUUGGGCCUAAAGCAUCCGUAGCCUGUUCUAUAAGUUUGCGGUUAAAUCUAUACGCUCAACGUAUAGGCUGCUGUAAAUACUGUAGAACUAGGGAGUGGGAGAGGUAGACGGUACUCGGUAGGAAGGGGUAAAAUCCUUUGAUCUAUCGAUGACCACCUGUGGCGAAGGCGGUCUACCAGAACACGUUCGACGGUGAGGGAUGAAAGCUGGGGGAGCAAACCGGAUUAGAUACCCGGGUAGUCCCAGCUGUAAACGAUGCAGACUCGAUGAUGCAAUGGCAUAGAGCUAUUGCAGUAUCGCAGGGAAGCCGUUAAGUCUGCCGCCUGGGAAGUACGUACGCAAGUAUGAAACUUAAAGGAAUUGGCGGGGGAGCACGGUCAUAGCUUGUUUCCGGA